rnacentral:tRNA from 1 species
CCGGGGGCUGGUGCGGCUGCAGCUCGUGCGGCUGCGGCUCGUGCUGCUGCUCGGGUGCCGGCUCGGGGGCCGGCUCGGGGGCCGGCUCGGGGGCC